rnacentral:snoRNA from 1 species
UCUAUAUACAUUUAUAAAAAAGGACAGGACAGAUCUAUUCUUAUGGAAGCAUAGCUCUGAGCUGUGACGUACAGUCCCGUUCCACGCCAUCGGAGACAAAGCUCCGUCCCCGGCUGUCGCUGGUGAGGACGAGCGUCCUGCAUAUUCCUACAUCUUCCCAGAGUCCUUUGGGGCCGUUACUGGGGAGCUAAACCAUGCAAUGCACACAC